rnacentral:rRNA from 1 species
UACGUAGGGGGCUAGCGUUGUUCGGAAUCACUGGGCGUAAAGCGCACGUAGGCGGUUUUUUAAGUCAGGGGUGAAAUCCUGGAGCUCAACUCCAGAACUGCCUUUGAUACUGGGAAGCUUGAGUCCGGAAGAGGUGAGUGGAACUCCGAGUGUAGAGGUGAAAUUCGUAGAUAUUCGGAAGAACACCAGUGGCGAAGGCGGCUCACUGGUCCGGUACUGACGCUGAGGUGCGAAAGCGUGGGGAGCAAACAGG